CAAGAAAACCGUCUUCGGAUGGAUUUCCACACCAUUGUGUACCAAACUUUUGUUGCUUUGGCGGGCUGGUCUGCCUACCCGGCAGACCCCCUCCCGGGGGAGUCGCCCGCCAGAGGACCUUCAAAACCAGUUCGUUGAUGAACGUCUGAUUAUACUUUUUAAAAGAAAUA
rnacentral:misc_RNA from 1 species